rnacentral:rRNA from 1 species
AUGAUCAAAUAUUGCAUCCACGCCGAGGUUGCAUUCAGGAAGUUUGAUGAUCCUUACUUUAAAGAGUGGAUGGACUCGAUGCAGCCCACCUUUAAAGUCAUUCGGCGCCAGACUGUUCACAACGACUGUUUGGACGCAUAUGAGCAAAUGAAGGAUCAGCUGCGCAUUGAGUUUGAGUCUCUUGAUUCCCGUGUUUGUUUGACCUCGGACAUGUGGACCUCUGUACAAGAACUAGGCUAUAUGUGUGUUACCGCUCACUACAUCGAUGGCAAUUUCAAGCUGAAGAAGAAGGUCAUAUCCUUC